GGAAGUAGAAGUCGUAACAAGGUUUCCGUAGGUGAACCUGCGGAAGGAUCAUUAUUGUAUAACCGAGGUGCGAGGGCUGUCGCUGACCCGAAAGGUCGUGCACGCCCGAGUGCCCUCACACACAUCCAUCUCACCCCUAUGUGCACCACCGCGUGGGUCCCCCUUUGGCUUGUUCGGAGGGGGGCUUACGUUUUCACACAAACUUUGUAUGCAGUGUAGAAUGUAUUUUUUGUUUUUGCGAUCACGCAAUCAAUACAACUUUCAACAACGGAUCUCUUGGCUCUC
rnacentral:misc_RNA from 1 species